rnacentral:piRNA from 1 species
UGUGACUGUAGAACCAUCUUCCUUCCAAGU